rnacentral:piRNA from 1 species
UACAUGGCAAAAUCAAUAUUG